UUAAAGAUUCGAGCUUCGGCUCACCUCUUCAGCUGUGCGCUUCGGCUGCACGCUGUUGAACAUCUCACACCUGUGCACCUUCUCGGUUGCGGCGUUUGCGUCGCUUCCGCCUUAUAUUUUACAAUAAAGUUCAGAAUGUAACAAACCAUAAAGUAACAACUUUCAACAACGGAUCUCUUGGCUCUCGCAUCGAUGAAGAACGCAGCGAAAUGCGAUAAGUAAUGUGAAUUGCAGAAUUCAGUGAAUCAUCGAAUCUUUGAACGCACCUUGCGCUCCAUGGUAUUCCGUGGAGCAUGCCUGUUCGAGUGUCACGUCAACCAUCACCCAAGUAAUGUCAAAGUUACUUGCGGUGGAUUUGGACUGUGCCGUAGUUGGCUCGUCCUGAAAUGCAUUAGCUUGCGCUUUUAGAGUGCUGAGCACCGGUGUGAUAAUUAUCUACGCCAACGCUCAAGGCCUCUUCAGCGGCGCUGCUUAUAGUCGUCCUGACGGACAAAUUAAUCCAAGCUUUGGCCUCGAAUCAGGUAGGACUACCCGCUGAACUUAAGCAUAUCAAUAAGCGGAGGAAAAGAAACUAACAAGGAUUCCCCUAGUAACGGCGAGUGAAGCGGGAAGAGCUCAAAUUUGAAAUCUGGCGGUCUACGAUCGUCCGAGUUGUAAUCUAGAGAAGUGUUUUCCGUGCCGGACCGUGUACAAGUCCCUUGGAACAGGGCGUCAUAGAGGGUGAGAAUCCCGUCCAUGACACGGACUCCCGGUGCACUGUGAUACACUUUCAAAGAGUCGAGUUGUUUGGGAAUGCAGCUC
rnacentral:rRNA from 1 species